GAUUGGCCCACUCUCAGUAACCUUUCAGGACAGACAAAUAAGGGAUACCACGCAUGCACGCACUGUUUAGCUGACACCGAAAGUAUAUACCUGGACAAAUGCAGGAAGAAUGUGUUCCUGGGCCAUCGUCGAUUUCUUCCGACCAACCAUCAAUGUCGAAAGAAAGGCAAGCAUUUCAAAGGCGAGGCAGAUCACCGGAAGAAGCCCGCCAUGCGUCCCGGUGAUCACGUACUUGCUAUGGUCAAUGAUUUACAAGUAAUCUUUGGAAAGGGUCUCGGCGGACUAGCUGUUCCGAAUGACGCUGAGGGACGCGCACCCAUGUGGAAGAAGAAAUCUAUAUUUUGGGACCUACGUUACUGGAAAGACUUAGAGGUCCGCUCUUCGAUCGACGUGAUACACGUGACGAAGAACCUUUGCGUGAACCUGCUAGGCUUCUUGGGCGUGUAUGGGAAGACAAAAAAUAUAGCCGAGGCACGGGAG
rnacentral:rRNA from 1 species